UACGUAGGGUGCGAGCGUUAAUCGGAAUUACUGGGCGUAAAGCGUGCGCAGGCGGUUUUGUAAGACAGAGGUGAAAUCCCCGGGCUCAACCUGGGAACUGCCUUUGUGACUGCAAGGCUUGAGUGCGGCAGAGGGGGAUGGAAUUCCGCGUGCAGCAGUGAAAUGCGUAGAUAUGCGGAGGAACACCGAUGGCGAAGGCAAUCCCCUGGGCCUGCACUGACGCUCAUGCACGAAAGCGUGGGGAGCAAACAGG
rnacentral:rRNA from 1 species